CCCGGUGGCAUUACCGAUGGGGAAACACCUCUAUCCAUUCCGAACAGAGAAGUUAAGCCCAUCAGGGCCGAUGGUACUAUACUGGUAACGGUAUGGAAGAGUAGGUCGCUGCCGGGU
rnacentral:rRNA from 1 species